CCAGGAACCGUUCCGAUUGCUAGAAGACCUUAUAAGAUGGCACCACUAGAACUAGCCGAGCUUAAGAAACAACUCGAUGAGUCCUUGAAAAAGGGUUUCAUCCGCCCUAGUUCAUCUCCGUGGGCUUGCCCCGUCCUAUUCGUCAAGAAGAAGGAUGGUACGGACCGGAUGGUUGUAGAUUACCGACCUGUCAAUUUGGUCACAAUCAAGAACAAAUAUCCACUUCCCAGGAUCAACGAUCUGUAUGAUCAGCUCGCUGGAUCCUCAGUCUUCUCCAAGAUGGAUUUGAGGUUGGGCUACCAUCAAAUCAAAAUCAAAAACGGGGACAUUCCUAAAACGGCCUUUGUUACUCGUUAUGGCCAAUACGAGUACACCGUCAUGUCCUUCGGAUUAACCAACGCUCCAGCCACCUUUUCUCGGUUAAUGAACUCAAUCUUCAUGGAGUAUUUGGAUAAAUUCGUCGUAGUUUAUCUCGAUGAUAUACUCAUCUACUCCAAGAACGAGGAAGAACAUGCCGAACAUUUAAGGCUAGUGUUGAAGAAACUUCGAGAGCAUCGCCUUUAUGCCAAAUUUUCUAAAUGUGAAUUCUGGUUGUCAGAAGUGACCUAUCUGGGUCAUGUAAUAUCUGGUAAAGGUAUUGCUGUUAACCCUGAGCGAGUUCAAGCCGUCCUUAAUUGGACUCCACCUGAAUCGGUCAAGCAAGUUCGGAGCUUUCUGGGCUUAGCGAGCUAUUGUCGUCGCUUUGUUGAGAACUUCUCCAAGGUUGCUAAACCUCUAACCGAACUCCUCAAGAAAGAUAAGAAGUUCGAAUGGACUCCACAGUGUGAGCACAGCUUUCAGGAACUGAAAAGACGCCUGACUUCUGCUCCCGUACUGGUACCGCCAGACUUCUCCAAGGACUUUGUUAUCUACUGCGACGCCUCGCGACAAGGACUAGGUUGCAUUCUCAUGCAAGAUCGACACGUAAUUGCCUACGCUUCACGGCAAUUACACCCACAUGAGGAGAAUUAUCCUACUCAUGAUCUAGAGCUUGCAGCCGUAGUCUAUGCACUUAAGACCUGGCGACAUUACCUCCUCGGUAAUCGUUGCGAAAUAUUCACUGAUCACCAAAGUCUGAAGUACAUUUUCACCCAACCGGAUCUGAAUCUCAGGCAAAGACGUUGGGUUGAGUUGAUCACAGACUUCGACUUAGGAAUAACCUACACCCCAGGGAAAGCCAACGUCAUGGCUGAUGCGCUAAGUCGUAAAUCUUAUUGUAACAACCUGAUGUUACAACAAAGUCAACCGCUUCUCCAUGAGGAAUUUCGGAAGCUUAACCUUCACAUGGUUCCUCAAGGUUUUCUUUCCACCUUGGUGGCAAAACCUACCCUUACGGAUCAGAUUAUCAAAGCACAGAAGGUAGAUCCGGGAAUCUCCCGCAUCAAGAGAAACAUUCAGAAAGGAAUUGCGAAUUGCUUCUCCAUUAAUGAUCAAGGGGUCGUAUACUUCGGGGAUCGACUAGUGGUUCCCAAAGUGCGCAACCUGAGGCGGUUGAUCCUUAAGGAGGCUCAUGAAUCUCCUCUCACCAUUCAUCCCGGUAGUACUAAGAUGUAUCAGGACCUACGCCAGAGGUUCUGGUGGACUAGGAUGAAGAGAGAAAUUGCUCAGUAUAUUGCUAAUUGCGACGUCUGUCGUCGUGUAAAAGCAGAACAUCAAUGGCCUGCUGGCACCCUUCAACCCUUAGCUAUUCCUGAAUGGAAAUGGGAUAAAAUUGGUAUGGAUUUCAUUACCGGUUUUCCCAGGACCAAGAGAGGGAAUAAUGCUAUUUUCGUCGUUGUCGAUCGUCUUUCCAAAGUAGCCCAUUUCUUACCUGUUCGUGAGAGUAUAACCGCUAGUCAGCUGGCAGACUUAUACAUCUCCCGAAUAGUGUCCCUCCAUGGUGUU
rnacentral:rRNA from 1 species